UUCUUUGAACAUUGGGUAGGGGAGCGUUCUGUAAGCCGUUGAAGGUGUGUUGUAAAGCAUGCUGGAGGUAUCAGAAGUGCGAAUGCUGACAUGAGUAACGACAAGGGGGGUGAAAAACCUCCCCGCCGGAAGACCAAGGGUUCCUGUCCAACGUUAAUCGGGGCAGGGUAAGUCGACCCCUAAGGCGAGGCCGAAAGGCGUAGUCGAUGGGAAACGGGUUAAUAUUCCCGUACUUCUUACAAUUGCGAUGGGGGGACGGAGAAGGCUAGGUGGGCCUGGCGACGGUUGUCCAGGUUCAAGUGCGUAGGCUGAGUGUUUAGGUAAAUCCGGAUACUCUUAAGGCUGAGACACGACGUCGAGCUACUACGGUAGUGAAGUCAUUGAUGCCAUGCUUCCAGGAAAAGCCUCUAAGCUUCAGAUUGUAAGGAAUCGUACCCCAAACCGACACAGGUGGUCGGGUAGAGAAUACCAAGGCGCUUGAGAGAACUCGGGUGAAGGAACUAGGCAAAAUGGUACCGUAACUUCGGGAGAAGGUACGCUCUUGAUGGUGAAGUCCCUUGCGGAUGGAGCUGACGAGAGUCGCAGAUACCAGGUGGCUGCAACUGUUUAUUAAAAACACAGCACUGUGCAAAAUCGUAAGAUGACGUAUACGGUGUGACGCCUGCCCGGUGCCGGAAGGUUAAUUGAUGGGGUUAGCGUAAGCGAAGCUCUUGAUCGAAGCCCCGGUAAACGGCGGCCGUAACUAUAACGGUCCUAAGGUAGCGAAAUUCCUUGUCGGGUAAGUUCCGACCUGCACGAAUGGCGUAAUGAUGGCCACGCUGUCUCCACCCGAGACUCAGUGAAAUUGAAAUCGCUGUGAAGAUGCAGUGUACCCGCGGCUAGACGGAAAGACCCCGUGAACCUUUACUACAGCUUGGCACUGAACAUUGAACCUACAUGUGUAGGAUAGGUGGGAGGCUUUGAAGACGUGACGCCAGUUGCGUUGGAGCCGUCCUUGAAAUACCACCCUUGUAUGUUUGAUGUUCUAACGUUGGCCCCUAAUCGGGGUUGCGGACAGUGCCUGGUGGGUAGUUUGACUGGGGCGGUCUCCUCCCAAAGAGUAACGGAGGAGCACGAAGGUGGGCUAAUCACGGUUGGACAUCGUGAGGUUAGUGCAAUGGCAUAAGCCCGCUUAACUGCGAGAAUGACGGUUCGAGCAGGUGCGAAAGCAGGUCAUAGUGAUCCGGUGGUUCUGAAUGGAAGGGCCAUCGCUCAACGGAUAAAAGGUACUCCGGGGAUAACAGGCUGAUACCGCCCAAGAGUUCAUAUCGACGGCGGUGUUUGGCACCUCGAUGUCGGCUCAUCACAUCCUGGGGCUGAAGUCGGUCCCAAGGGUAUGGCUGUUCGCCAUUUAAAGUGGUACGCGAGCUGGGUUUAGAACGUCGUGAGACAGUUCGGUCCCUAUCUGCCGUGGGCGUUGGAAGAUUGAAGGGGGCUGCUCCUAGUACGAGAGGACCGGAGUGGACGAACCUCUGGUGUUCGGGUUGUGUCGCCAGACGCAUUGCCCGGUAGCUAAGUUCGGAAUCGAUAACCGCUGAAAGCAUCUAAGCGGGAAGCGAGCCCUGAGAUGAGUCUUCCCUGAUACUUUAAGUAUCCUGAAGGGUUGUUCGAGACUAGAACGUUGAUAGGCAGGGUGUGUAAGCGCUGUGAGGCGUUGAGCUAACCUGUACUAAUUGCCCGUGAGGCUUAACCAU
rnacentral:rRNA from 1 species